UGAAGGAUUGUAAAUGAUAGGGUUGGCAGAGUUCAUAGAGACACAUGUUAAAUGAUUAAUUUCAUGAGAUUUGUACCAAGUUAUCUCUUUAUGUGGAAAACUAAUACUGAAAUCUAAUAUUUUUAACUUUUAAAAAAAUUCAUCAGUAAUGUCUUUUUAUUUAUUUUAAAAGAAUCAAAGGAUAAAUAACUCCCAGUCGGCUCAGUCAUUGGCUACCCCAGUGGUUUCCGUAGCAACUCCUACUUUACCAGGACAAGGAAUGGGAGGAUAUCCAUCAGCCAUUUCAACAACAUAUGGUACCGAGUACUCUCUGAGUAGUGCAGACCUGUCAUCUCUGUCUGGGUUUAACACCGCCAGCGCUCUUCACCUUGGUUCAGUAACUGGCUGGCAACAGCAACACCUACAUAACAUGCCACCAUCUGCCCUCAGUCAGUUGGGAGCUUGCACUAGCACUCAUUUAUCUCAGAGUUCAAAUCUCUCCCUGCCUUCUACUCAAAGCCUCAACAUCAAGUCAGAACCUGUUUCUC
rnacentral:lncRNA from 1 species